UGAUGGGUAUUUGUGUUUAAUAGCCUAUUUUAUUGAUGAAAAAUAGAUAUUGCGAAAGAAAAUUCCCAACUUUUAUUUUAUGCCUCCUACAUAUAAUGAUAUAUCUUUAUGUAAAAUAAUGUAUAAUUUGUUAAUUGAUUGGGGGAUUAAAAAAAUUAUGCUAAAUGAUUUUAGAUAUGCAUCAGUAAAUGAUAUGUUUUUGACAUGC
rnacentral:lncRNA from 1 species